rnacentral:rRNA from 1 species
UGAGCAAAACCAAGCGGCGGACGGGUGAGUAACGCGUGGGUAACCUGCCCUAUACACAUGGAUAACAUACUGAAAAGUUUACUAAUACAUGAUAAUAUAUAUUUGCGGCAUCGCAGAUAUAUCAAAGUGUUAGCGGUAUAGGAUGGACCCGCGUCUGAUUAGCUAGUUGGUGAGAUAACUGCCCACCAAGGCGACGAUCAGUAGCCGACCUGAGAGGGUGAUCGGCCACAUUGGAACUGAGACACGGUCCAAACUCCUACGGGAGGCAGCAGUGGGGAAUAUUGCACAAUGGGCGAAAGCCUGAUGCAGCAACGCCGCGUGAACGAUGAAGGUCUUCGGAUCGUAAAGUUCUGUUGCAGGGGAAGAUAAUGACGGUACCCUGUGAGGAAGCCCCGGCUAACUACGUGCCAGCAGCCGCGGUAAUACGUAGGGGGCUAGCGUUAUCCGGAUUUACUGGGCGUAAAGGGUGCGUAGGUGGUCCUUCAAGUCGGUGGUUAAAGGCUACGGCUCAACCGUAGUAAGCCGCCGAAACUGGAGGACUUGAGUGCAGGAGAGGAAAGUGGAAUUCCCAGUGUAGCGGUGAAAUGCGUAGAUAUUGGGAGGAACACCAGUAGCGAAGGCGGCUUUCUGGACUGCAACUGACACUGAGGCACGAAAGCGUGGGUAGCAAACAGGAUUAGAUACCCUGGUAGUCCACGCUGUAAACGAUGAGUACUAGGUGUCGGGGGU